GUUAAAAAAUCCUCCAAAGUU
rnacentral:piRNA from 1 species